CAGCAACCAAAGUGGGCGUGGCCUGCCUCCUGCGGGGAGCACAAAGGUGGGUUUUUGUUUUUAUGUAUCAACUCUGUUCUCUUUGUCUCCACAGCUCCAGCACCCGUUUAAGUCCUCAGUUUUACCGUAAGGACCCAGAUUCAUCUACAGGGCCAGAGUGUGACCUCAAGAGGGUGGUGUCAGCUCAAAGGCCACUCAGCUGCUCUCAGGUUAAACUCGAUCCCAAUCAGCAGACAACAAAGACUGACUAGGGGUGGGGUGGGGGUGGGAUGGUGGGGGGUGGGGAAGGUGAUGGUGGUGGAGGGUGGUGUCAGCACGGAGAGUGUUUGUCUGCACAGAGCUGGGUGAGGUGUCUGCACUGGAGAAGCUUUUAAAAACUGUGCUGUGAUUGGCAGACAAUCACCAAACCUUAACCAAACCCAGAAAAAAAAAGUCAAAAGCCUUCCAUUUGGGGCUACAGACUGUCUUUGCUGGAAUGGAAAGAGAUCUUGUUGUAAGAGGAGCGUUGGAUGAACCAGCCCCAACCCAGGGUCUAGAGUUUGAGGAGUGACAAGGGCAGAUCUCUAAGGAAGCGAAACUCCUCUGAGACCCGACAGGGAACCAGCUUCCUCGAGGAACCUGAGUGAAAGGUCAGAUUGGGGGAACAUCUCAGGGAGGGACCAGCAUGUGCAAAGGUCCUGGGGUGUUGUAGAGCCUGCUCUGUCGAAGGAAGGAAGAGGCUAAAAGUGCCAUGGUGGAGUAUGGUAGGAGGUGGGUCCUGCUCUAAAGGCUCGGAUGCAGGGCAUUAGGAUGUGUGGGGACACAGGGGCUGCUGAAGGGGUCUCUGGGGUCUGGACUAGGGAUUUAUUUCUAGCUGUAUGCUUCUGUGGGGACUCAGAGAUACUUAGCUUGUCUCUGCAAAUGACUUUCUGGUCACUGUUGUGUCCCUGCGUGAUGCUGAAAAUAUUAAAGUUGUUGGGGGAGGGGAGAAAAACAGACCUUCGGGCUACAACUGUACAUCUAGGAGAGUUAACUAUUUCCUUAUGUAACACAAGUAACUCCGGAGUCCAAAUCAGGGUGGGUGUGGUGAGGGGUGGGGGAGGGGUAGGAGGGAUUACCCAAAGUGCAAGUAAAUCAGCAACAGGGACACUGAAUCAUUAAGGGGAGGACCUGUCACCUGAGCCUCCUCAGGUCAUCCAUCGUCCUCGAAGGAUUGUCAGGGCAACAUCAGUGGAAUGAGAACCCUGCUGAGCACAUGGGGCAGCUGUUUCCGUGGGACCUGCUGUCCUGACCUGGGAGUGCCAUGCUGGGGACAUGCUGAGGACCACAGGAGGUGCAGGAGUGGCCUCCAGGGGCACAGCCCACCUCCACUGACCCCCUGGCUCCCUGAGGCAGAGACACGGGUGCAGAGCUGGCCUAUCACAUGCUCUUUCCUGGUACCCUGAGUUUUUGGGUGAAUGAAGAAAAGGAGGGAGGAGAGAGAGGGUGGUGACUCCUCCAGGGGACAUGCCCCAGGAUCUGAGCUUAGGGUGGAGCUGCUACGCCCUGGCCACCAUGGCUUCUGGUUUUCCAACCUGGUCUCCCCACCCUGUGAAGAGCCCACUAUCACACAUUGUCCUGGC
rnacentral:lncRNA from 1 species